UCAGACGGUCUGUCGCCGGUUCCCCCUUGUGGCGGGGCCGGAGGAAAGUCCGGGCAACACAGAGCACCAUCCUUUUUAACGGAAAGCUGCGGGCGACCGCAGAGACAACGUGACAGAAAACAACCGCCGCCCCCUGUGGGCGGUAAGGGUGAAAAGGCGGGGUAAGAGCCCACCGGGCGCCACCGCGAGAUGGCGUGCCGCACGUCUGAUGGGUUGCAAGGUCAAGUAUACCGGCAUCUAAGAGCUGCUCGUUCAUUGCCGGGGGGUAGACUGCUGUCGGGCGUAGCCCCGAUUAGCGACCGUGGCAACACGGCGUAGAGAUAAAUGACAGACCGGCGUCCGGCUAAAGCGCCUCACGUGUGGGGCAUGGCCGCCGGAACGACCGACAUAACCCGGCUUACAGUCUGACUG
rnacentral:RNase_P_RNA from 1 species